rnacentral:rRNA from 1 species
GUAUCUGGGCUCAGGUGGGACCACCCGCUGAACUUAAGCAUAUCACUAAGCGGAGGAAAAGAAACUAACGAGGAUGGCCUCAGUAACGGCGAGUGAAGCGGCCAGAGCCCAAGAUGGUAAUCUCCGUGCUGCGCACGGCGGAUUGUAAUCUAGAGAGGCUAUGCUCACCGGGUGGUGGCGCAGAAGUGCCCUGGAACGGGCCGCCAGAGAGGGUGACAGCCCCGUAUGUGGUGCCGCCGCCUAACGAGCAGGUCUUCAAAGAGUCGGGUUGUUUUGUAUUGCAGCCCUAAGUGGGAGAUAAACUUCUUCUAAGGCUAAAUAUAUGUGGGAAACCGAUAGCGAACAAGUACUGUGAAGGAAAGAUGAAAAGCACUUUGGAAAGAGAGUCAAAAGACCUGAAACCGUUGAGGAGGAAGCGGUAGAGAUGAAUUCUACGGCGAGGCGCUGGGAAGCCGGCCUAACCAUGGCGGCCAGGUCGUACGUCAAAGGCGGCGGGCUGUCCAAGGGGAAGCCGGUGACUAGCGCGGCGUUGUGAGGCCGGAUGGGGUGGCGCGAUCACAGAGGCCUGUUGGGCUUGGCUUGAUUCGUUGAGCAGCCCAGGAGUGCCGGUGGCCGCGUGGCCUGAGGGUGCUUUGUGCGAUCCGGUCAAAAUGGUCUUUACCGACCCGUCUUGAAACACGGACCAAGGAGUCUAACGUACGCGCGAGUGUGCCGGUGGAGAAACCGACACGCGGAAUGAAAGUGAGUGAUGCCAAGCGCAAGCAGCAGCAUCGACCGACCAUGAUCCUCUGGAGAAAGGUUCGAGUACGAGCGUGUCCGCUAGGACCCGAAAGAUGGUGAACUAUGCCUGCGUAGGGUGAAGCCAGGGGAAACUCUGGUGGAGGCUCGUAGCGAUACUGACGUGCAAAUCGUUCGUCGAACGUGGGUAUAGGGGCGAAAGACUAAUCGAACCAUCUAGUAGCUGGUUCCCUCCGAAGUUUCCCUCAGGAUAGCUGGGACAAUUACGCAGUUUUAUUAGGUAAAGCGAAUGAUUAGAGGCAUCGGGGGCUACAGGCUCUCGACCUAUUCUCAAACUUUAAAUUGGUAAGAACUCGGGCCUCUUCUUAAGUGAGGCGCCGGGCCUCAAUGCGUGUCCUUAGUGGGCCAUUUUUGGUAAGCAGAACUGGCGAUGAGGGAUGCUCCUAACGUCGGGUUAAGGCGCCAAACUGCGCGCUCAUCAGAUACCACAAAGGGUGUUGGUCCAUCCAGACAGCAGGACGGUGGCCAUGGAAGUCGGAACCCGCUAAGGAGUGUGUAACAACUCACCUGCCGAAUGGACUAGCCCCGAAAAUGGAUGGCGCUUAAGCGCGCGGCCGAUACCCGACCAUCGCCGCGAGAGUGAGGCGGCGAUGAGUAGGAGGGCGUGGGCGUCGUUGCGAAGCCUCUGGCGUGAGCCUGGGUUGAACGGCGUCUAGUGCAGAUCUUGGUGGUAGUAGCAAUUAUUCAAAUGAGAACUUUGAAGGCCGAAGUGGAGAAGGUUUCCGUGAGAACAGCAAUUGGUCACGGGUGACUCGAUCCUAAGACAUGGGGGAAGUCCCUGUUAAGUGCGCGCUUGCGCGUAGUCGAAAGGGAAUGAGGUUAAUAUUCCUCAAGCUGGAUGUGGGUGUUGUAUGGCAACAUAAGUGAGCCUGGGAACGCCGGCGCGAGCCUCUGGAAGAGUUCUCUUUUCUUUUUAACAGGCUAGCGGCCCUGAAAUGGGAUUAUCCCGAGCUAGGGCGGCACGUCUGGAAGAGCGCCUUGCUUUCCGAGGCGUCAGGUGCGCUCGCGACGGUCCAUGAAAACCCAGGUGAGAUAGUUUCACACCAGGUCGUACCCAUAACCGCAUCAGGUCUCCAAGGUU